AUUGAACGCUGGCGGCAGGCCUAACACAUGCAAGUCGAGCGAGCGGCGGACGGGUGAGUAAUGUCUGGGAAACUGCCUGAUGGAGGGGGAGAACUCUUGGAAACGGUAGCUAAUACCGCAUACCAUCAGAUGUGUCCCGAUGGGAUUAGCUGGUAGGUGGGGUAACGGCUCACCUAGGCGACGAUCCCUAGCUGGUCUGAGAGGAUGACCAGCCACACUGGAACUGAGACACGGGCCAGACUCCUACGGGAGGCAGCAGUGGGGAAUAUUGCACAAUGGGCGCAAGCCUGAUGCAGCCAUGCCGCGUGUGUGAAGAAGGCCUUCGGGUUGUAAAGCACUUUCAGCGGGGAGGCGUUACCCGCAGAAGAAGCACCGGCUAACUCCGUGCCAGCCGCCGCGGUAAUUC
rnacentral:rRNA from 1 species